rnacentral:rRNA from 1 species
GGGCCCGCACAAGCGGUGGAGUAUGUGGUUUAAUUCGAUGCAACGCGAAGAACCUUACCAGGGUUUGACAUCCUGCGAAUCUCUUGGAAACAGGAGAGUGCCUUUGGGAACGCAGUGACAGGUGGUGCAUGGCUGUCGUCAGCUCGUGUCGUGAGAUGUUGGGUUAAGUCCCGCAACGAGCGCAACCCACGUCUUUAGUUGCCAGCAUUUAGUUGGGCACUCUAGAGAGACUGCCGGUGAUAAACCGGAGGAAGGUGUGGAUGACGUCAAGUCAUCAUGCCCCUUACAUCCUGGGCUACACACGUACUACAAUGGCCGGUACAGAGAGCAGCCACUUCGCAAGAAGGAG